rnacentral:tRNA from 1 species
GGGCUCGUAGCUCAGCUUGGCUAGAGCGUCUGGCUCUUAACCAGAACGUCGUGGGUUCAAAUGGCCCUUUUCCGCCUAAGGGCGCAAAAGCUCCAGCGGAAAACAGCGUUGAAAAUCCCACCGAGCCCG